UACGAGAGGCCCAAACGUUAUUCGGAUUUACUGGGCUUAAAGAGUUCGUAGGCGGCGCAGAAAGUAGGGUGUGAAAGCCCUCGGCUCAACCGAGGAAUUGCGCCCUAAACUACUGUGCUUGAGGGACCUAGAGGUGAGCAGAACUGAUGGUGGAGCGGUGAAAUGCGUUGAUAUCAUCAGGAAUACCGGAGGCGAAGGCGGCUCACUGGGCAUGUCCUGACGCUGAGGAGCGAAAGUGUGGGGAGCGAACAGG
rnacentral:rRNA from 1 species